rnacentral:rRNA from 1 species
CCUGGCUCAGGAUGAACGCUAGCUACAGGCUUAACACAUGCAAGUCGAGGGGCAGCAUGAAUCAAGCUUGCUUGAUUGAUGGCGACCGGCGCACGGGUGCGUAACACGUAUCCAAUCUACCCAUGGCUCAGGGAUAGCCUUUCGAAAGAAAGAUUAAUACCUGAUGGUUUCAUGAGCCCGCAUGGACUUAUGAAUAAAGAUUUAUCGGCGAUGGAUGAGGAUGCGUCCGAUUAGAUAGUAGGCGGGGUAACGGCCCACCUAGUCGACGAUCGGUAGGGGCUCUGAGAGGAGGAUCCCCCACAUUGGAACUGAGACACGGUCCAAACUCCUACGGGAGGCAGCAGUGAGGAAUAUUGGUCAAUGGGCGAGAGCCUGAACCAGCCAAGUAGCGUGAGGGAUGACUGCCCUAUGGGUUGUAAACCUCUUUUGUUUGGGAAUAAAGUGAGCCACGUGUGGCUUUUUGUAUGUACCUUACGAAUAAGCAUCGGCUAAUUCCGUGCCAGCCGCCGC